GCGCGGUUUUGCUGCGUGCGCACGUCAACAUAUCAAAAUCCCUUCUAUCUUUGGUGGAAGUUUCACUUUAUAUGAGGAGAAAAAACAUCAAGAGAUGCAUGCCCCCCCAAAUCUGUUGAUGGAACCUGAUACACGACCCUAGAGCAUCAUGAGCUUGGUCCUACACGAGCUCCUGGUCUGCUGCAGAGGUUUAGAGAAUGACAAAGCAACUGAGAGAAAGAAAGAGGCUGAUCGCUUCAGACAGCUCAUCCGGUCUCCUGACACAGUGGAGGAGCUGGAUCGCAUUUCUGGAACCAGAGCUGCUAAAAGUUCCAAGCAGCUCACCUGGAAUGCAGUCUUCAGGUUUUUGCAGAAGUAUCUGCAGAAAGAGACUGAGCUGCUCCAGUCAGGGAAAGCCAACGUGUCAGCCACCACACAGGCUAACCGUCAGAAGAAGAUGCAGGAGAUCAGCAGCCUGGUCAAAUACUUCAUCCGCUGUGCCAACAAGAGAGGGCCUCGGCUGAAUUGUGGUGAGCUCCUGAAUCAUGUGAUGGAGAUUCUGCGGAGCUCAUUCAGCUGCUCGGCCUAUGGGGAGGACUACAGCAGCAUCUUGCUCAAGAACAUCCUGUCUGUCCGCAAGUACUGGUGUGAGAUCACCCAGCAGCAGUGGCACAAUUUGCUGGAUCUAUAUUGUGGCCUUUUCACUGGUUCCUCCAAGGCCAUAAAUCGUGUGCUUGUGAGCAGGAUCAUCCACACUGCAGUCCAGGGCUGCUGUCUGCAGACUGAGGGCUUCAGCCAUACACUCUUCAGCUUCUUCUCCAGAGCACUGCUCAAUGCCAGGCAGGAGAGACACUUGGCAGUGGUGGAGCACUUGGUCUCUGCUCUGAACGUCUUCCUGAGGUCUGCUGCCAUGAACUGCCGUAUCAGGGUGUGUCGGCUGGGUGAGGAGCUCCUGCCCUCUGUGCUCUAUGUGUGGACACAGAUGAGGCCCAGCACCACUCUCAAAGAGGAGAUAGUAGAGUUCUUCAACCUGCAGCUCUGUGUACAUCAUCCCAAAGGAUCAAAGACACAAGACACAGGAGCCUACGCUGAGGACUGGGUCAAAUGGCAGAGUCUACUCUAUAACCUGUAUGAUGCCCUGGUGAGUGAGAUCAGCCAGAUUGGGAGCCGGGGGAAAUAUGCCACAGGGUCGCGCCACAUCGCUGUGAAGGAGAACCUUAUGGAGCUAACUGCAGAAAUCUGCCAUCAGCUCUUUAGCGAGGAUUGUAACCUCCAGGUUCUGGAGGUGACUCAGGCCCACCUCAGAGCCACCCAGAGAGGCAGUCCACACGGCACGCCCAGCAAGCGUAGACGCAUCGAGCUGGGCUGGGAGGUUCUCCGAGACCACCUGCAGCCACACCAUAGUGACUUUGACAUCAUACCAUGGUUACAGAUCACAUCAGUGUUGACCUCUAAGUACCCCUCCAUGGUGCCUGGCCAGGAGCUGGUUCCUCUGCUGUCCGUCCUGUGCCAGCUGCUGGGGGAGCAGCGGCGGGGUGACAGGGGGCCCUACGUGCUGCGCUGCCUGAGGGAGGUGGCUCGCUGCCAGGCCACACACCCAGAGAGGGCCCAAUCCUACAGGGUUGAACUGGGCAGGCUGUGGGGCCGUGUCUGGGCCCUGGCUCUACGGGGGGUCAGCUCCCCCCAAACUGAGGCCCUCAGUCUGGCCCUGCUGUCCACCAUCCUCCAGGGAGCCUUCAUUCCCAUUGACAGAGAGCUCUGGAAGCUCUUCUCUGGCUCGGCCUGCAAGCCCUCUGAUGCUGCUGCUCUGUGUUUGGCCCAGGCCCUUCUCAAGUGUCCUGUUCUUAAGAGCCUGGGCACUGGGUGGGACCAUGCAGGGGCUGUGGAGGGGGUCGGGCCACCCAGCCUCAAGGAGAACAUCAUGAGCUGGCUGCUGAUGAACGAACAGAGUGAAGAGGCAGAGGAGAGCUCAAGACCACACCCCAUCGUCUGCAGGGAUUUUCCUCAUAACCUAAUCCCCAGAAUCCUUGUGCCUUUGACCCUCAAAGACACCCGAGCUGGCAUUAUGUUUCUCCUUGGAGCAAAGGGACUUGAGAGUGCUGUGAUGCAAGAUCAAACACAAGUGGAAGUUAAAGGUGCCCUGAGUGAGAUUGAGAGCAUGUACCUGCAGUUCAGCUUUGACGAGAUGCCCUCUAACCCCAUGGUGAAAGAGAUGGUGUCCUCAGCCGGCACCCAGCUCACUGUUGUCCCCAGCCUAAAACACAAGCUGGAGCAGGGCCUCUUGUCUGUGGCUGACCACCUACUCAACUGCUACUCCCCAGAUUCUCAGACCACACCACCAGAAUGCCUGGUUCGUUGUUCAAGUCUUCUUACUGGCGRUUUAGCAGGAUAUGUCUCUACUGGUCUCCUGACUGAGGAAGAAGCCUGCCAUUCCCAACUCUUCCUAAAGGCCAAGGCACUGGUUCAGGAUUUUAGUGAGUACAUAUCUAAUGUGAAGGUGAAGAUGGCAGAGGAUGGGACAAUGACCACACUCAGGUCUGUCAUGCGGCUGUGCACACAGUGUGUCAACAGAGGGGUUAAGGACAGUAUGAGCUCUGUCUCUUGCAACUUGUUCAUGAAGAUUUUCCCUGCGAGACUUUUGACUGAACUGGCAGAAAUAUGCAAACUGUUGCUGAACAGCUCCUGUAAGAGAGGCAGUGUGGGGAUUGAGGAGGAGACCACAGAUGAGGACUGGGACAUGACGAGGACACAGGCUGACCAGCAGGAGGACAUUGACCUGUUUGAUGAUGGAGACGAACCACAGACCAGCACAUCUAAGGGGACUCACAGACAGAAUGUGGACCCCAAUGACACCCAGUGUGGUCCUGAUGCUAAAAGCCUACUGGCUGAGGAGCAUUUGGCCCAGCAGGAUUUAGCCAUCUUGGCCAGUCUGGAGUUCCUGUCCCUGUGUGUAUCGGCUGAGUUUAUCCACGGGCUCUCUUUCAAACCAGUGGAGGUCCGCCGCAAGUUACUACUGCUGCUGGAGCAGAUAGACUGCACCAAGCCACUACACCUCAACAUGUACCUGGUCCUUCUGAAGAAACUACCUGCUGAGGACACAUCGCUGGCAGCUGAAGAGUUUGACUCACUCCUCAGACCUCUGGCGGAUCUUUGCUCAUUGUACCGCCAGGACCAGGAGAUCUGUGCUGCAGUGCUGCUGGGUCUGCUACCGUCUAUCCGUAGUCUGGGCCGUACUCAGGACCAGCAUAAUGACAUGAGACACGUCCAGGGAGCUCUGCUCCAAGUGGUCUCUGGAUUCUGCAUUUUGGGCAGAACGGGGAAAUGCACAGCAAUUGUAAAGGUGGCAUUAAUUCACUGUCUACUGGCUCUACUGGAGGCUGACCCUUGCUGUAAGUGGGCGGUCCUUACCCUGAGGGAGGAGGAGCUUCCAGUGUCCGUCAUCCUCCCGUCCCACCUGUCCGACUCUCACCAUCACGUACGAAUGCUUGCAGCCAUGACAGUGGAAAGGCUGUUCUUGGAGAUGACACCAGACAGCUUGGAGAAGAGAAAGAUGCUUCCUCUGAAAUGCCAGCAGACAGCCUUUGAGAACAUCUACCUGAAAGCCCAAGAAGGGAUGAGGGUCCAGAAGAACAGCUCUCCUGAAGACCUGAGUGACGAGACCUUUAACCGCAAGGCCACGCUGUUGAAGAGUGUGUCGGUGGUGCUGUGCUGCAGCCCCGUCUGUGAGAAACAGUCCCUCUUCGCCCUCUUCCAGUCCUACAAGGAGAACAACAUAGAGGAGCCGCUCAUCAAAAAGGUCCUGGGCAGUGUGUCCAGAGCUCUGGGCUACAGGAGUGUGGAGGCAUUUGUCAGCUCUCACCUGGAUUACCUGGUGGCAGAGUGGCUGGGCCAGCAUGGCUACACUCUGGAGUCCUUCCCAUACACGCUGCUCAACCACGCCACUCUCAAGGACUUCUACAGCUCCUCCUAUCAGGUCCUUAUCCCACACCUGGUCUUCCUGGAUGACUUUAAGCAGGUGAAGUCCAUCAGCACCCACCUGGGUAAGGACUGGAAGAAGCUGCUGGCCAACUGCUUCCCUAAGAUCAUGGUUAACAUCCUGCCCUACUUUGCCGUGUCGGGCCAGGAUGCCCAAGUGGCCCAGCAGAGAGAGAAGGCCCACAGGGUCUAUGACCUACUCAAGGACAGCAACUGCCUGGGCAAACCGCAAAUCGACAGCCUGAUUCACAGUAACCUGUCAGACAUUGUGGUGGAGCUGUUGAUGACCCUGUAUGAAGGGGCUGCUACUGAGGAGGGGGGCAGAGGGGACCUGAGAAGGUUCAUAGGGGAACUGGACCCAGCCCCAAACCCACCCUAUUUCAGCUCCUAUGUCAUAAAAGCCACACUGGACUAUCUCAGCUCGUGUCACAGUGCCAAUCUCAAGUCCCUGGUGGCCAUUUUAUCCAAGACUCCGAUCUCCAUCCAGAGGAUCCUACUGGCGGUGUGUCAGAAGGCAGCUGAGACGAUCAAUGCCUACGAGAGGCACCGCAUCCUGCUGAUGUACUACCUGUUUGUCAGCCUGCUGCUCAAGGAGGUCAAGGACGGUCUGGGGGGAGCCUGGGCCUUCGUCCUCCGAGACAUAAUUUACACACUCAUCCACCACAUCAACAGCAGGCCUGCCCAGUUGGACGAGGUGUCCAGCCGUAGUUUCUCCCUGUGUUGUGACCUACUGACCUCUGUGUGUCGCACGGCCGUGCAAUUCUGUGACGAUGCUGUGGAGAGCCACCUCCAGGUCAUCGUUGGUACUCUCACUGCCCAGGUGACAAACCAACUUGCUAUCUCACAGCAGGUGCUCAGUCUGUUGAAGUUCCUGGUCGUAGAGAGUCAGGACAAGCUGAAGAGUGCCAUCCAGAAGUUAGAGCCCUUCCCAGACCGACCUGAGUUCAGAGAGCUGAGGGCCGUGCAGCACACACUGAAGUACAGCYCAGGGAAAUUCACUCUCAGACAGGAGAUAGCCCACUUCCUGUCUGUGGCUUCCUGUGACUCCCUGCCUCUGACCAGACUGGAGGGGCUGAAGGACCUGAGGAGACAGCUCCACAACAACAAGAGCCAGAUCAGACCGCUGCUGAGAGAGUGCCUCGCGGACCCUGAAGAGAGUGUGUUGGUGCUGCUGGUCCUUAACCUACUACAGCUCUGUAAGCUAGCAGCCAAUCACCCUGGAGGAAGAGACAUCUUAGAGGCUGCAGGGAGCUGUCUGGGAGAGCUGGGGCCUGUGGAUUUCUCCACCAUCGCUCUACUCCAUGGGAAGGACCAGCUCAAUGCCAGAGCUGUAUCACUCUUCUCUCCAGUGGAACCACAGUGGCUCUACAUCAUCCUGAACUGCAUCAACAACGCCCUCACACACCACUGUAUUGAGGUGAGGCAAGCUGCUGUCCAGAGUCUGAAGGACAUCUUGGCCACCCAGGCUGGAGCUGACUUCUGGGAGAUCCAUAAAGACAACCGUGACCCCAUGCUGGCUUACCUCAACCCUUUUAGAUCUACCAAGAAGAAGGUGGUCGGGAUGAGUGAGGAGGUGAGCUUGGUGGCUAGGGAGCGGUUGGAGAGCCAGGACCUGUGGGUGCCUGAGGCUGGCGGCCAUAAGGCCUGGUUGAAGACGCUCUGCAUGGUUCUGCUGGACAGUGGAGGGGUCAGGAGUGAGGCUCUGCUGCUUUCCCGGCCCCUGUGUCUGGUGAAAACAGACUUCUGCCAGAGGGUGCUGCCGCUCAUCAUCCAUGACAUUCUGCUGGGGGACUCUGACGGCUCCUGGAGGAAGCUCCUCUCCACACACAUCCAGGACUUUUUCACCAGCUGUUCCAGUCGUGCCCGGGCCUCCAGCCGCUCCACCACUCCUCUCCCCUCCGACUCUGCAGGAGAGUCGGACAUCUCCAACCAGGGUCCGUUGGAUAAGGCCUCUCUGCGCACCAUGCUCUCUGUCAUUAACUAUCUGAGGCAGCAACAAAGACCUCUAGAAUCUGAUAGUAACUUGUGUGGUACGGUGUGCCACUCUAACUUCUGGUUGGAGCUGAACUACCUGGAGGUGGCCAGGGCGGCCCAGUCCUGCUCAGCCCACUUCACAGCCCUGCUCUACUCUGAGAUCUACGUAGACAAGAUCAAGACUAACAUGGAGGAGAACCGCAGAAAUCCAGCCAGAGCGUCGCGCAGAAUCACAUUUGAUGAGAGCAGUCAGAACUUCCCCAUCUUCAGUCUGACAGAGGAGAGUGUGAAAGACACUGGUAUCAGUCUACAGGACCUACUGAUUGAGGUGUAUCGUAGUAUUGGGGAGCCAGACAGUCUGUAUGGGUGUGGAGGUGGGAAGAUGACCAGCGCUCUCACCAGGAUUCGGACCUAUGAGCAUGAGGCGAUGUGGGGAAAGGCUCUGACCUCCUACGACCUCCACUCCAAUCUUCCUGAUGGCACACGGCAAGUGGGCAUUGUGGAGGGUCUGCAGAACAUUGGUCUGAGCAGUAUCCUGGCCACCUACCUGCGGGGUCUGGAGAGUGAGGGGGUGGAGUGGGGGGCGGAGCUAAGGGAGCUCAGGUUUCAGGCCGCCUGGAGGAACAUGCAGUGGGACUGUGACCUAUCAGAGAGGAAUGAGAAAUUGAACCCUGGCUUCAACGAGUCAGUGUUCUGCUCCCUGCAGGCUUUGAGAGACAAAGAGUUUUCCACAUUCGAUCAAACUCUUAAAUAUGCCAGGGGCAAUGAGGUGGAGGAACUGUGCAGAGGCAGUCUGGAGGCAGUGUCCUCUCUCUACCCUGCUCUACGGAACCUCCAGAGGAUCAGUGAGCUGGAGAGCAUCCGACAACUCUUCUCCAAGCCCCUGACCGACGUAGGCCUGGCCGAGGUGUGUUCCCAUUGGCAGCAGCACUCCCAGCUGCUGGUGGACAGUGACUUUACGCUGGUGGAGCCCAUCCUGGCCCUGCGCUCCGUGGCCCAGGAGACCCUAAUCUCCCAGGAGAGAGACCCUGAWAAGAACAAGUACCUCAGCACUGUCCUCACCUCCCACCUCAUGGAGCUCUGCCAACUGGCCCGCGCCGCAGGAAACACACAGCUGGCAGAGCGGGCAGUUUUCCAGAUGAAGCAGCAUGGCGGAGGAGGGGGGCGGGGCUCCACAGCGUCGUCAUGGCAGCUGGAGGAGGCCCAGGUGUUUUGGGCGAAGGGAGAGCAGGGUCUUGCUCUGGGGCUACUGAGACAGAUGAUCCACACUCUGGAGGAGCAGGUUAACUUUAACCCUGCCCUGGUGCCGGUGUUCACGGAGUGCCUGAGGCUGUGUGGAAACUGGCUGGCAGAGACGUGCCUGGAGAGCCCUGGGGUCAUCCUGGAGAAGUACCUGGAGAGGGCAGUGGAGGUGAUCGAGGGCCAUGCGAUAGGUUCAGACACCAAGCUGCAGAGCCAGAGGACGCAGGCCUUCCUGUCCCUGGCCAGGUUCUCAGAUGCCCAGUACCAGGGCAUUGAUAACUACAUGAAGUCAUCUGAGUUUGAGAACAAACAGGCUCUGCUGGAGAAGGCCAAGGAGGAGGUGGACUUGAUGAGGGAGCGCAAGGUCGGCACCAACAGGUACACAGUGAAGGUGCAGAGGGAGUUGGAGCUGGAUGAGAGGGCUCUGUCCAACCUGCAGGCUGACAGAAGGAGGUUCCUGUGUAAGGCUGUGGAGAACUACAUCCAUUGUCUGGAGCAGGGUGAGGAGCACGACACCUGGGUGUUCCGCCUGGCCUCACUGUGGCUGGAGAACGCUGACGUCAAGAUAGUCAACGACAUGAUGAAGGGAGGUGUGAACAGGAUCCCGUCCUAUAAGUUUCUGCCUCUCAUGUACCAGCUGGCUGCCCGCAUGGGGACCAAAAUGUCUGCUACAGUGGCAGAGGAUGUGGGCUUCCAUGGUGUUCUCAAUGAGCUGAUCUGCCUGUCGUGUCUGGAGCACCCUCACCACACCCUCUUCAUCAUCCUGGCUCUGGUCAACGCUAACAAGGACGAGAGCUUCUCCCGCAGCCGCCUGUCCAAGAGCACCCCGCGCCAUUCCUCCCAACUGGACCUGGAGCGGUCUGAGGUGGCCCAGAGGAUAAUGAACAAGAUCAGGAAGAAGAGAGCUCAGAUGAUCAGAGGCAUAGAGGUCCUCUGUGAUGCCUACAUCACUCUGGCCUACAUGGACGCCAGUCGACACAAGACAGAGAAAAAAGCCAUCCUCAUCCCCUCUGACCAGCCCAUCAUGCAGAUAAAGAACCUAGAUGAUGUCAUCAUUCCUACAAUGGAGAUCAAGGUGGACCCCUCGGGUAAAUAUGACAACCUGGUGACCAUCAAGUCCUUCAAGCCUCACUUUCACCUGGCCGGAGGGGUCAACCUGCCCAAGAUCAUUGACUGUGUGGGAUCAGACGGGAAGAGCAGACGACAACUGGUCAAGGGCCAGGAUGACCUGCGGCAGGAUGCUGUGAUGCAGCAGGUGUUCCACAUGUGUUCUAUGCUGCUGCAGCGCAACACUGAGACACGCAAGAGGAAACUCAACAUCCGACGCUACAAGGUGGUGCCCUUCUCCCAGCGUAGUGGGGUUCUAGAAUGGUGCUCGGGGACCGUCCCUAUAGGGGAUUUCCUCAUAGACCCACAAAAGGGCGCUCACACACGCUUCUGCCCCCAAGACUGGACCAGCAUAACCUGCCGGAAAAAGAUGAUGGAGUCUCAGAGGCUUGGUUCCGAUGGGAAGACCCAGGCUUUCAGUGAGGUGUGUCAGAACUUCCGCCCUGUCUUCCGGUACUUCUGCAUGGAGCGAUUCCUGGACCCGGCAGUGUGGCUGGAAAAACGGCUGGCCUACACUCGCAGUGUGGCCACUUCCUCCAUCGUGGGCUACAUUGUUGGACUGGGGGAUAGGCACAUUCAGAACAUCCUUAUAGACGAACAGACAGCUGAACUGGUGCAUAUUGAUUUGGGUGUAGCGUUUGAACAGGGCAAGAUUCUCCCAACUCCUGAGACUGUUCCCUUCAGGCUAUCCAGAGAUAUUGUGGAUGGGAUGGGCAUAACGGGGGUGGAGGGCGUUUUCAGAAGAUGCUGUGAGAAGACCAUGGAGGUCAUGAGGAGUUCACAAGAGUCCUUGCUGACUAUUGUAGAGGUACUGCUGUACGACCCUCUGUUUGACUGGACCAUGAACCCUCUCAAGGCCUUCUACCUGCAGCAGCAGCAUGAUGAGCAGGCUGAGCUCCAGGCCACGCUCAACUCUACACUGGGGGGAGACAUCCUGGAGGCCCACCGCAAGUCCAGUGAAGCUGUGUGGCUCCAGUUUUCUUCUGCAAGCCUAUUUGUCUGACAUUGGAUCGUGGAGGACAGUGUGCUCAGAUGGAUGGGCAGAUCACCAUGGGAAGGCAGCCUAACAGCGUUUAGGAUACAGCAGAGACACAUAUGUUAAAUCUGGCCAACAAAAGACAAAUGCCAGUGGAUUCUUAAUGCUGAAGUCUGGGUCAAGCCCUGACACACCCAUAAUGCAACAGCUUGGGCGUCAGUGAAAAAAAUCGAAACCUGUCCCAGUGUUCAUGGGGUGACCCUGAAGUGCAUAGACUGUGGUACCAGAGUAGUCUCCAAUUUGAGUCGUGUAGUGGGGGGCCAGGAGGCUAGUUUGGGGGCCUUGCCAUGGCAGGUCAGCCUCCAGGUCUUUCACGUCUGCGGCGGUUCCAUCAUCACCCCAUACUGGAUAGUGAUGGGAGCACACUGCGUAGUGGAGCUCAGGCUCCAGCUCUUUGAUGGAAGCUGAGGUGUCACUGAUAGACAGGAUCAUCUCUAACAGRUCCUCUGUCUACAAUGGGAAGAUCACACAGGAUAUGAAAUGUGCCGGCAGGCUGGAGGUAGGAGUGGACUCAUGCCAGGUAAAAGAUAACUGACCCCUCUGCCUCAUAGGUCCCUAUUAGCCUGGGUACCAGACCUGGUUGUGCAGUCAUUCCACUCCUUGCCCUCCUUGUCAUAUGCCAGGAGUGGAAUGAUGGAACAAACAGGUCUGGUACCCAGGAUAGGUCCCUAUAUUUUUUACCAGUUUUUACUGGUCCGAUUAAGGGUUUUUAGAAAAACUUAGAGCCCCACUCAAAUUCUGUUUACUCUGAAUGACAAAAUAUAUUUGAAGGUUAAGAAAAAUAAAGACAAUUGAUGAUCUAUUAUAUCAUGAAAGUAUCAGGAGCCUAAAUCAUGUUUGAUUUGAUCACUUGCUCUGUUCAUUCAUGGUGUCAUUCUGAUUUAAGAACAUCUUAACUUAUAAACAAGAUGUUUAAAGACAGUUGGAUAAGGCUUUCACACUGCCACAGCAAUGUACCUUUGUUCUGUUUCUAUAAAAGUCAAACAAGAGUAUCAUACCAGUGGAAUCAUACAAUUCCACUUAUCCUGUACAAACAUAGCAGUGACAUCAAGGGUGUUCCUCCGCUUUGAACAGAUCAUACAGAGGGUUUUCAUGCCUUUAUGUAACAUGCUCUCUGACCUUGGUCAAACAAAACCUCCAUUAUAUACUGUGCCUUUAGCUUUUGUUACUUCUAGGUUAGACUACUGCAAUGCUCUACUUUCCGGCUACCCGGAUAAAGCACUAAAUAAACUUCAG